rnacentral:rRNA from 1 species
AUGACUCGAUGCACUGACUGCCCACGGACUGCGCCACUGAAGCGACUGACUUCGAAGGAGGAGAAGAAUGGGAACUUUGGGCGCGAGUUCAUCAAAUGCGAGAGCAAGCCGGAGGGGCAGAUCAUGAAGAAAUGCCACCAUUUCGAGUGGAAGGAUGAUUACAUCCAGAGGCUUCAAGGGUUGGGCUUGCUGGACUCGAGGGGGAAUGCAAUCCGCGAGUUCAAUCUGCCCCAUGACAGUGCCGCUCCGGUAGCAGCAGCGAGUCCGGAAUACCCGACGGUGGUAGAUGUUGAACUGAAGACGGAAUUGAAGAAGAUGAACAAGAACUUCAAGCAGCUGAUUGAGUUGAAGAAGCAAUCCAAUCUGAUAGCUUUAGGAAUACUUGCUCUAGGAAUUUUUUACUUGAUGGCCAUCUCUCGUUAG